rnacentral:misc_RNA from 1 species
GAUGAAGAACGUAGCGAAAUGCGAUAAGUAAUGUGAAUUGCAGAAUUCAGUGAAUCAUCGAAUCUUUGAACGCACAUUGCGCCCAUUAGUAUUCUAGUGGGCAUGCCUGUUCGAGCGUCAUUUCAACCCUUAAGCCUAGCUUAGUAUUGGGAAUCGACUUUACUGUCGUUCCUCAAAUUCAACGGCGGAUUUAUAGCAAUCUCUGAACGUAGUAAUUUUUUUUCUCGUUUUUGAAAUACUAUAAACCUCAGCCGCUAAACCCCCAAUUUCUUAUGGUUGACCUCGGAUCAGGUAGGAAUACCCGCUGAACUUAAGCAUAUCAAUAAGCGGAGA